rnacentral:rRNA from 1 species
CCUACGGGUGGCAGCAGUGAGGAAUAUUGGUCAAUGGACGAAAGCCUGAACCAGCCAAGCCGCGUGCAGGAAGACGGUUCUAUGAAUUGUAAACCGCUUUUGUCGGAGAGUAAACGGCGGUACGUGUAUCUCACUGAGAGUAUCCUGCGAAUAAGGAUCGGCUAACUCCGUGCCAGCAGCCGGGGUAAUACGGAGGAUGCGAGCGUUAUCCGGAUUUAUUGGGUUUAAAGGGUGCGUAGGCGGGCGAGUAAGUUAGAGGUGAAAGUUAGAGGCUCAACCCCGGAAAAGCCUUUGAAACUGGUAGGCUAGAGUGGGGGUGCAGUAGGCGGAAUGUGUGGUGUAGCGGUGAAAUGCUUAGAGAUCACGCAGAACACCGAUUGCGAAGGCAGCAUACCAGGGUACAACUGACGUUGAGGCACGAAAGCGUGGGUAGCAAACAGGAUUAGAUACCCUUGUAGUC